GAUGAACGCUGGCGGCGUGCCUAGUACAUGCAAGUCGAGCGAAUGGAUUAAGAGCUUGCUCUUAUGAAGUUAGCGGCGGACGGGUGAGUAACACGUGGGUAACCUGCCCAUAAGACUGGGAUAACUCCGGGAAACCGGGGCUAAUACCGGAUAACAUUUUGAACCGCAUGGUUCGAAAUUGAAAGGCGGCUUCGGCUAUCACUUAUGGAUGGACCCGCGUCGCAUUAGCUAGUUGGUGAGGUAACGGCUCACCAAGGCAACGAUGCGUAGCCGACCGGGGAGGGUGAUCGGCCACACUGGGACGGAGACACGGCCCAGACUCCUACGGGAGGCAGCAGUAGGGAAUCUUCCGCAAUGGACGAAAGUCUGACGGAGCAACGCCGCGUGAGUGAUUAGGGCUUUCGGGUCGUAAAACUCUGUUGUUAGGGAAGAACAAGUGCUAGUUGAAUAAGCUGGCACCUUGACGGUACCCAACCAGAAAGCCACGGCUAACUACGUGCCAGCCGCCGCCGUAA
rnacentral:rRNA from 1 species